rnacentral:rRNA from 1 species
GACGAACCGAGCGAACGUUAUUCGGAAUCACUGGGCUUAAAGGGCGCGUAGGCGGGCGGCCAAGUCAGGGGUGAAAGCCCCCAGCUCAACUGGGGAAGUGCCUCUGAUACUGGUCAUCUCGAGGGAGAUAGGGGCGUGCGGAACUUCCGGUGGAGCGGUGAAAUGCGUAGAUAUCAGGAGGAACACCGGUGGCGAAGGCGGAUCUCUGGGCCAUUACUGACGCUGAGGAGCGAAAGCGUGGGGAGCGAACAGG